CAUACCUAUGUCUCACUUUUUGACAGACCAAAACACAACCAGAUGCUCUGCAGGGUGCAGCUUUAUACGACCGCAAAUGUUGAACACUGAACAGUUGGGGCAAGUAUGGACACAACAUUCAAGCUUGAUACAGCUCUGAAUUUGGAUUGUGAUUAAAUAGUUGACACAGCAUAGGUUUCUGACACAGAAUGAAUGUGGUCUAAUGAACUU
rnacentral:lncRNA from 1 species